UUCGCAAUGCCCGAAAGGGUGACGAAGCGACGCCGCGUGGGUGAGGAAGGCCUUCGGGUUGUAAAGCCCUGUCAGGAGUUAAGAAAUGUAGGUACGCUAAUAUCGUGCUUAUUUGACAAAGGCUCCAAAGGAAGCCACGGCUAACUCUGUGCCAGCAGCCGCGGUAAUACAGAGGUGGCAAGCGUUGUUCGGAAUUAUUGGGCGUAAAGAGCACGUAGGUGGAUUUGUAAGUCAGAUGCGAAAGCCUUCUGUUCAACGGGAGAAUUGCAUCUGAAACUACAAACCUUGAGUGUAGGAGGGGAGAAUGGAACUUCUGGUGGAGCGGUGAAAUGCGUAGAUAUCAGAAGGAACGCCGGCGGCGAAAGCGAUUCUCUGGCCUAUUACUGACACUCAGUGUGCGAAAGCUAGGGGAGCAAACGGGAUUAGAUACCCCGGUAGUCCUAGCCGUAAACGAUGGGCACUAAGUAGAGGGGUUUU
rnacentral:rRNA from 1 species